rnacentral:rRNA from 1 species
UGGGGAAUAUUGCACAAUGGGGGAAACCCUGAUGCAGCGACGCCGCGUGAGUGAAGAAGUAUUUCGGUAUGUAAAGCUCUAUCAGCAGGGAAGAUGAUGACGGUACCUGAGUAAGAAGCCCCGGCUAACUACGUCGCC